UGUCCCAGUCAUGCAUAUACGUACCUAUAUUUGUUUUCAUUUUUUUCAUUAAAGUAAACCAUUAAAAUUUAAAACUAUUAGGGGUGAAAUUGGAAGGUCAAAUUAUAUGUACAUGCAAAAUGUUGAGAUAUGAAAUAAUUGAAUUUCCUGACAGGAUAUUAUGAGAAUGCUAUUUUUUCUUACAACAACCAGGUUAAUCAUCAUAAUUUUCACUUCCAGAUCAGUGGAAUCAUUGUUAUGAUUCCUAGUGGAAGCAUUCCUCACUUUGGAACUAAGAUCUCCAGGCCAACAGAGAGUAAGUUCACAGGAAAUAGAAGCAAAAUUGUUCUUGGGACAAUAGGGGUAAUAGUGAGGGGUUCCACUCCUAUUUCUGCCCCUGGACCAGUGAAUCCUGUUGGAAAACAGCACUGUGUAUUUGGACACUGAUGGAGAGCAUCAUGCAUCACCUCCUAUCUAGUGCUGUAAUUGAGUCUUUUAUAUAUAUAUAUAUAUUUUUUUUUCUUUUCAUUGAAGUAUAGUCAGUUUACAAUGUUGUGUCAGUUUUGCAAUUGAGUCUUCAAAAGGCCAUCCUACCGUUCUGUCACACAGGUGCUUCAGGACGGUGGUAAGACCAGAGAAUUUCGUGAGCCUGGACCCACUGCUGCACUUCCUUUCCUGGAACCAAAGGCUGCCGCCAUGCUUCGCCAUCGCCUGCCGCGGACAGUGGGGUGUCGCUCCAGGGCCUCGCUUCAGACAUGAUUUGCCUCCAGCAUGAACUGUCCGAGGUGCUCUACGAUCUGUGCGCUGGAUGGAAGCGAACCUUUCUCUAGAGGCAAUUACGGCUUGUCUAAAACGCUCCUCCGGCA